rnacentral:lncRNA from 1 species
CCGCAAAGCAAUUUUCGUGGCCCAGAAACCCUAUCCCUUCAUCCCCUUCGCCCAGAAACCAGCAACUGCACAACUUGCUCCACUGUUGGGGGCGCUCCCUUGGUGCCGCCGCCACCUUCCUCCACUGCUCGGGCCAAAUCGAAAGCUCUCGGCUGGGGGCCACGCGAGUGCCGGCAAGAUCCGUCGCCGUCGGCAUCCUUGCUAGUCGCGCUGCUCCUCGGGUCCCACCUCUGCCACAAACACUGCCCCUGCUGUGCCCGCGUACCCGCCCAGUCUCGUCCGUCGCCGUUGCUGUUGAUGCUGCGGCGGCGGAUCUCGCACGUCGCACAUGGGGUAAGGAGGUAGUAGCGCCGGAUCUCACACACAGGCAGAGGACACAGCCGGAUCUACGCUUCCUCUUGGUUAUCUCGUGUCCUCCUCGGUCUGUAGUUAUGUCAGCACUUAUUUAUGAAUGCAUGUUUCCUAUAUGGUUGGCUAGAGUAGUUGUUGAUAUUGGGAUGAUUUAAUAAUUCCUGCGUCCAUUGAUAUUGUUUGUUUGAUUCAGCAGAAAUACUUUUUUGAUGAAAUCCCUUGUUGGAACAAAUCUUUGCUCGAGAUUUUAAGAAUUGUUUUACUCUUUUGACGAACCAGUUUUUCAUGACACGGAAUCCUGUUGUUCCAGUAUAUACAGCAGACAUAAUACAUGUAUGUUUCUGCACACUUGACAUUUUAUUCAGUCCAUCUGCCUGGUGUUAAUUUCAGCGGUGAAUGCUAUCAGAUCCUGUGCUUACUUUUCAGACCACAGCAUAAGAGUACUUGAUGACCAUACCGGUUGGAGAAUGAGAUCCAUCAAAAGAAAAAAUAAUUGUUGCGUAAUGAAUUGAUAGAGGGUUUGAUACAUAAUAGACAUAGUAGAAUUUGUGAGCCUACGACGUUAUGCUCUCCGUGACUUUUAAUUUCACAAACUUUGUUUUUUUAGAUUAAAUAUCAUUUUAAUCUCAGUACUUAAUUUUAUAGUAUUGUUGUUUUAUCAUGAAAACCAUAUAUUUUAAGUAUAAAAGUUUAGUGGUCCCAUAUCAACAUAAUUUGAGCAAAAGCAACACAAUUUGAGCAACAUAAUUUGAGUUAUCUAUCCUACCUUCUCUUUGCUUGCAGUUUCAACAGUUCAGAAGAGCAACAUGGGGGUCCUUUGUUUAUCGAUUCCAGCAGUAGUAUCAGCUUCAGUUAUUGUGCAAAAGCAGGUGGGCAGCACAUAAGCUGCUUGGCUCUUAUCUCAGGUGAGCAAGUGACAGUAGCUAAACAUGAAACUUAGAGAGCAAAUUUUAGUUUUAUUUGGUACUUAAAGAUGGAUAUUAUUAUCGCACAUGUCACGAUAGGUUUGGACUUAGAUACAUUUUCUUACAAAUUAAAUGCUCUACACACCACAUGGAUCCUUACUACUAGUCUCUGAGUAUAUAAGUGGUGCUUCAUGUGCAAGAGGAUUUGAAUCAGUGUGUCUAUGAAUAUAUAAGUUGUAUGCUCGGUAAAGUUUGGUUUUUACAGAUAUACACACAUCAGACCAUGCUGAUUUACACUGGACCCACAUAAUUGGGUGAGCAUCACUUUUUUAUUUGGUAUUGUACCCUCUAAUCAGCUAGUGAUUGCUUCCUUCUUCCUUAUAUGCUAAAUAUUGCUCCUCUUACUGAACCAAAACUUCUAAAUUAUCAUUAAUAGUUGGGCUGUCCUAGCAAUAAUACUGCUGAAGGUGCUAUUUUCAUAUUCAUUGACAGCAGGUUUACAUACUCGGAAGUUGCACCGGAGAUCAUCUAUGCACCUCUAGACUUAACAACGACUACCUGCUGAUUUGUAGAAAUUGUGUAGAAUGAUAUUUCUUACAUUUAUGUCUUUAAUUAACUAUUUGUUGUUUUGUUGUAGCCUGGGAGUAGUUGGCCUACAUUGAGCUAAGAGGAAAUGAGGUAGCUAGGAGGUAUAUGUAUGGCCAUUUAUUCUAUAAAGCAACUGUUACUUCAUAGAUCUGGUGGAUACUCUAUAUAAUCACUUACAAUUUAACAUUGUCAUGUAUAUAUUAUGAUCACAAGAGCUUGUAUUGUGAAGUGUGAAAUAUUUGUGUACUGCCAUGAAAUGUACCAUAUUGUGAAACAUGAGAUUCAGAAAUGUACACGGUGCAUCUAGAUUUUUUGUGUUUUUGCAAAUUGUUACCAGUGACGCGUUUUGGCUAUACGCGUCACUAAGGACGCGACAUCAGUGGCACGUCUUCUCCAUACGCGUCACAACUAUUUUCACAUCAGUGAUGCAUCUUCUCAAUACAUGUGGUGGUGAGGUCUCAGA